rnacentral:rRNA from 1 species
CCUACGGGAGGCAGCAGUGGGGAAUCUUCCGCAAUGGGCGCAAGCCUGACGGAGCAACGCCGCGUGAGUGAAGAAGGGUUUCGACUCGUAAAGCUCUGUUGUCGGGGACGAAUGUGGAGAUGGUGAAUAACCAUUUCCAAUGACGGUACCUGACGAGGAAACCACGGCUAACUACGUGC